rnacentral:tRNA from 2 species
GGUUUAUUAGUUUAAGUAAAAUAUUGGUUUUGUAAAUCAAAGAUAGUAAUUAACUAUUAUAAACCA